GUACAGGUUCCUCUAGGAACCACAAUAUUUAAAAUGGGAUAGAAAAU
rfam:Loxodonta africana unplaced genomic scaffold scaffold_89, whole genome shotgun sequence.